GGAUCACCUCCUUACCUGAAGAUACCUUCCGGCGCAGUGUCCACACAGAUUGUCUGAUAAAAAAGUAACGAGCAGAAAAACCUCUACAGGCUUGUAGCUCAGGUGGUUAGAGCGCACCCCUGAUAAGGGUGAGGUCGGUGGUUCAAGUCCACUCAGGCCUACCAAAUUUCUUCUCAUGCUGCGUUAUGCACUCGGUCGUUUACUGUAGUAAACUUCCCUCCCGCAUGCCUUGCCUGAAAAGAAAUUGCAUUUUCUCUUUAUAAAGAAAAUGCGACUCCUCAUGAGUGGUAGAAAAAGGUUUCUGUCAGACCGUAUGGGGCUAUAGCUCAGCUGGGAGAGCGCCUGCCUUGCACGCAGGAGGUCAGCGGUUCGAUCCCGCUUAGCUCCACCAUAUGGUUUUUCUGAAUUCAAUAUUUCAGAGUGUACUGGUUAACAGUAUGCUGCGAAGUAUUAUGCUCUUUAACAAUCCGGAACAAGCUGAAAAUUGAAACGACGUGUCGUGUUCAUUCUCCGUAAUAAGAAUGAAGUUAACGACAUGUUCGAGUCUCUCAAUGCCUGCAACUGACAGACGUCUUUCGGGACGCUUGUGGGUUGUGAGGUUAAGCGACUAAGCGUACACGGUGGAUGCCCAGGCAGUCAGAGGCGAUGAAGGGCGUGCUAAUCUGCGAUAAGCGUCGGUAAGGUGAUAUGAACCGCAACAACCGACGAUACCCGAAUGGGGAAACCCAGUGCAAUCC
rnacentral:misc_RNA from 1 species